GGAUGUGAGGGCGAUCUGGCUGUGACAUCUGUCACCCAUUGAUCGCCAGGAUUGAUUCAGCUGAUCUGGCUGGCUAGGUGGGUGUCCCCUUCCUCCCUCACUGCUUCAUGUGCGUCCCUCCCGAAGCUGCGCGCUUGGUCGAAGAGGACGACCUUCCCCGAUAGAGGAGGACCGUUCUUCGGUCAACGGUAUACGAGUAGCUGCGCUCCCCUGCUAGAACCUCCAAACAAGCUCUCAGAUGGCUUCAUCAAGGGCUUGUCUUGCCAGUAAUCUCACUGAUGGAGUCUUCAGACU
rnacentral:snRNA from 1 species